rnacentral:rRNA from 1 species
GACAGAGGGUGCAAACGUUGUUCGGAAUUACUGGGCGUAAAGCGUGUGUAGGCGGUCUCAUAAGUCGGAUGUGAAAGCCCCGGGCUCAACCCGGGGAGUGCACUCGAAACUGCGAGGCUAGAGUAUCGGAGAGGUUGGUGGAAUUCUCGGUGUAGAGGUGAAAUUCGUAGAUAUCGAGAGGAACACCGGUGGCGAAGGCGGCCAACUGGACGAAUACUGACGCUGAGACACGAAAGCGUGGGGAGCAAACAGG